rnacentral:rRNA from 1 species
GAUCUGGCUCAGGAUGAACGCUAGCUACAGGCUUAACACAUGCAAGUCGAGGGGCAGCACGAACUUAGCUUGCUAAGUUUGAUGGCGACCGGCGCACGGGUGAGUAACACGUAUCCAACCUGCCGAUGACUCGGGGAUAGCCUUUCGAAAGAAAGAUUAAUACCCGAUGGCAUAGUUCUUCCGCAUGGUAGAACUAUUAAAGAAUUUCGGUCAUCGAUGGGGAUGCGUUCCAUUAGGUUGUUGGG